AUGCAAACUCGUUUGACGCAAGUGUUUACUCGUGAUGCAGUUAAGGAGAACAAAACUGUUUUGAAGAGGAAGAUUUCAGAUCGAAAUCCUCAUGGCACACAGAGGUGUAGCCCACGUGUGAAAGCUGGUUCCCAACCUGGUAAUAGCAAAGCUGAUGGGGAUAGUGUUGCUGUGAAGAUUGGUCCAAGAAAACUUGGUGGCUCCCCUGUUCGUCAUAGUCCACGGGUUUUGACAAAUAAGAAGCCUUCUUCGCCUCCUCUUCGAGAGCGCUCUUUGUUGAAAGAAAAUAAUAAGCGUAAAGUUCAUCCUGCGAAGGUGAAGAAAGGUGUGAAGAAGCGUGCUUGUGUCGAAGCUGAAGAUGUUGUAUCUGAACAAGAUGAUAUCGAAGUUGAUUCUGAAGAUGAAUUUGCAGUGCUUGUUAGCGUUAUGAGUCCGGUGAAGCCGGUGGGAGGCAAUGCCGGAAAAGUUGCCUUGGAUGAAGAUACGAUGACUCUUGACAUGGGUGAGGCUAAUAAGAAGCUUCGCAUCACUAGCGAUGGUAUACAUCAACUAUUUGGGUUCCCUCGUGGUGGUCGUUCUCCGCCAAGGCCGUCGGAGGAUGGAUAUGACGACGCUCUGAUGAAGUUAAGAUCGGAGCUUGACAUUAGCAGGAACAAAGAUAUCAAGACAAAGGAUUUGAGGAAUAAGCUCAAGGUGCACGUCAAGGAUCCUAGCAAAGAUGACCUUGCUCUGAAAGUGUUCUUCAUUAUUGUGUUUAUGAAGGUUGUGUUGCCUGGUGCCGCCCCGCGUGUUUCUAGAGAGGCAGCAAUGUUUGAGGGUCUCGUCUUUGAGGACAUGGCUAAUAUGGAUUAUUGUCAGCUGAUGGUUGAUGAGCUUAGAAGGGCUGUUGUCAGGUACCAAGAUGGUGUUACCCUUGGGAAGGCAAUCACAGGCUAUGCUAUAGGGCCUGUACUAAUUUACCUUGACUGCCUUAUCCGUGGCAACACUGCGGAGCCUGACAUGCGAGUCCCCCGCAUAUGUUUCAUGGAUCCUGUCAAGCUUUCUGAUCUGGUUGAUGCAGAUUUGAUAAAAAAGGCAAUGCAGAUCCAAAGACUUGGGUGUUUGGGAAGCUUCCGGUAUGAUUUUUAG
rnacentral:rRNA from 1 species